AGUGAACGCUGGCGGUAUGCCUAACACAUGCAAGUCGAACGGCAGCACAGUAAGAGCUUGCUCUUACGGGUGGCGAGUGGCGGACGGGUGAGGAAUACAUCGGAAUCUACUUUUUCGUGGGGGAUAACGUAGGGAAACUUACGCUAAUACCGCAUACGACCUACGGGUGAAAGCAGGGGAUCUUCGGACCUUGCGCGAUUGAAUGAGCCGAUGUCGGAUUAGCUAGUUGGCGGGGUAAAGGCCCACCAAGGCGACGAUCCGUAGCUGGUCUGAGAGGAUGAUCAGCCACACUGGAACUGAGACACGGUCCAGACUCCUACGGGAGGCAGCAGUGGGGAAUAUUGGACAAUGGGCGAAAGCCUGAUCCAGCCAUACCGCGUGAGUGAAGAAGGCCUUCGGGUUGUAAAGCCCUUUUGUUGGGAAAGAAAAGCAGCAGGUUAAUACCCCGCUGUUCUGACGGUACCCAAAGAAUAAGCACCGGCUAACUUCGUG
rnacentral:rRNA from 1 species